UUUAUGGAGAGUUUGAUCCUGGCUCAGGACGAACGCUGGCUGCGUGCUUAACACAUGCAAGUCGAACGGAAAGGCCUCAGCUUGCUGGGGUACUCGAGUGGCGAACGGGUGAGUAACACGUGGGUGAUCUGCCCUGCACUUCAGGAUAAGCCUGGGAAACUGGGUCU
rnacentral:rRNA from 1 species